CCUACGGGUGGCAGCAGUGAGGAAUAUUGGUCAAUGGACGAGAGUCUGAACCAGCCAAGUAGCGUGAAGGAUGACUGCCCUAUGGGUUGUAAACUUCUUUUAUAAAGGAAUAAAAUAGGGUAUGUGUACCUUUUUGUAUGUACCUUAUGAAUAAGGAUCGGCUAACUCCGUGCCAGCAGCCGCGGUAAUACGGAGGAUCCGAGCGUUAUCCGGAUUUAUUGGGUUUAAAGGGAGCGUAGGUGGGUUGUUAAGUCAGUUGUGAAAGUUUGCGGCUCAACCGUAAAAUUGCAAUUGAUACUGGCAGUCUUGAGUACAGUAGAGGUAGGCGGAAUUCGUGGUGUAGCGGUGAAAUGCUUAGAUAUCACGAAGAACUCCGAUUGCGAAGGCAGCUCACUGAACUGCAACUGACACUGAUGCUCGAAAGUGUGGGUAUCAAACAGGAUUAGAUACCCUAGUAGUC
rnacentral:rRNA from 1 species